rnacentral:lncRNA from 1 species
UGCUGUUGAGCUCUCUAUUCAUACUACGGGGUGGAGCUGGGUCUCUUCCAUGCCUCUUUGCUACCACAAAUCUGGCGUGGCCAUGUCGGUCAUGUGACCCGUGCCUCGCUGACCAAUAGCCCUUCUUCCCCCUCCUUAAAAACCACCUGCAAUAAACGUGGGAGAGCAGUCUC